ACUGCGCAGGACGGCGUAGUAACAACGUUCACCACAGGAAACACUAGAGACACGUAAACUGCCGUAUACAUCGACAGCGUACUGUUUUCACGGGAAAUGGAAAUGCUUCAGAAUUAUGGAAACAAGACCCUGAAAAACCUCAAAGGGUGUCAGGGUGGCCGAGAUUCCCGGAAUCACGGAGAAAACACCGGGUGCUGAUGCUUCACACUCUUCCCGAGGCCUCGCUUUAGGGGCUGGCCCUGGAAAAGGGAGCCGAGAGGGAAAAGGGUGGGGACCCUUAUUCACCCGUGGAGGUGGCAUCCGGAUGCAGCGCUCAGGGCACAAGUGCCGCGGGAGUGGGGAGAUCCAAGCAGUGGAGGAUCCUGAGCUGCUGGGCCUGGGCUGUCCUACAAGGUGGCCAGGGAUACGUAAGGUUCUUCUAGGGAGCUGAGUGUAUACCGAGGAGUCUGAGGAGUGUAGAUGAAGGCGGGGUGGAGGAAGCGCUCGUACCCCAGGUGUGAACACCUCCCCUCGAAGCCUCCCGCACCUGCCCUCCUUACAUACCCAGUCCAGAGGCCAGCAGCACCUACUGACCUGAAGCACAGAAGCUCUGGUGUGGGAAAGGUGACAAAACAACUUUUAAAUGGUUCUUUAUUCAUAAACUUGAUGCAAGUUUACAAAAUUUACUGUACAUUGCCAAAUAAAUCUGCAAUGAAAAAAUCCAAAAAACAAAGCAUGCCAGAUGUGCAGCCAUCGUUCUGCAGAGCUGCCCCUCAUCCACAGCGAGGUCAAGGUUUAGCCUUAGGCUCAGAGAACUUCAUUGCUUUGAAGAACUCUGCCCCCUCGCUGGUUCUCUGAGCGACUGGCAAUCAAGUGAGCAGAAUGCCAGAAAACCUCUGCCUGCUCUCCUCUCCACCAAAACCAGACCUCAAGAAUAAACACCACAGCAAUGCAGAAGCCAGUCUCAGGAGUACCAAGCUCCACUGCGUGGCUCCUCUGUAUGAAAAACACUGAAUGGACAAGCAGCAGUGAGCCCAACAAGCCUCACCCCCAAGGGAAUGAGCACUAGAGCGGGAGCCUCUGCUAACAAGGACAAGAGCUCAGGACAGUCCAUGACUUCACAUGAACAUUACCAACUUCAACAACUUUAUGAGCAGGUUUCUGGACAUUAUUUUGGCAAUAUCACAAAAUGGUUUAGACCUGGAAAAGUUGGAUUUAGAAGACCUAAAUUUUCUAAACCAACAUUGAACAUCAGUUAAACUUUUAUUGGCUCUAAAUGGAACAGUAUUUUGAAAAUCCUUGCAACCCAUGGGCUCGAUGUUAGGGAAGUCACUGUGACAUCACAGCUUCAGUGACCUGAUGCUGACUUGCCUGCUUCAAGAUUUCACUUUUCAAGAAAGAGAUGGCAAGGGGUGGUGGUGCCUGUAUUGGUCAGGAAGAAUUCAGUAGGGGCCAAGCUGCUCAGUGAGCAGGUGGAAAGGCCGGAACUAAGGCUGUGUCAGUGUCGGGUUAUCCACUAAAGAUCUAGGAGUUAAGGUCUCCGUGCAGUUGUCACGGCACUCAAAGCUUGCAUCUGCAUGUUGGAAAGGUUUUCUUUAAAGCAACAUUGGUCCAGCUACACAGAGUCAACAUAUUUAGCCGUCUUCCUUUGGAGGAGUGUACCAGCCUGAAACAGAAUGGAACCAAAGUUAAGAUCAUUUCCUUGGUAAUUUAUGGCCUAUGAUCACAAUUUGGUGCUUCAAUUUGCGGUAGCAAUUAAACUUGCACUUGGGUUAACACAGCACACUGAUAAAUUCACAAUAUAAAGGUAUGCAUUUCCUGUAAAUAGAGUGUACUUGAGUUUUCACAUGAGCUCUAUUAAUGGCAUCCCUAAAGAUAACAGUGUAGUCUGUGCCAUCAGAUUAGAUACUAAAUAUCGUAUCAAUUUUGUAUCUAAAAGUAAACCUUGCUGAGAUCUAUUCCCCAAGCAAAAUCCUGCCAUUCACAGUAAGAGAAACAGGAAGGAGGCCACUGAGGCCAAGUGAGCAGGCCUAAGGCCAGAGCUGGCAGGAGAAGCCCCAGGAGAACUGUCGCUAUGGUACCACAAGGGGUUGUGCUGGUGUACUGUAAUCUAGAAAGGGACUGAGAGGGGGUGGCCAAGUGUUCUCACUACAAAAAAUGGUAACUGAGAGGUAAUAUAUUAGAUUUAGAUAUUCUAAAUCUAACACACAUAAUUUUAUCUGUUAAAGUAAAUUAAAAAUGACAUAAAAGUUUUAAAAAUUUAAAAAUUAGAAUCCAACCCUCCUGAUUUUGAAUCUAUUGCACUUUCAUCAUGGCUGAACUUUCACACACACACACAUUCUCUCAUUUCCCUCUCUCUCUUGCCCUCUCAGACUUUUCUGAACAUAUUUUUCAAUAUAAGUUGUAAUGUCUGAUUUAAUAAGAUCAGGGCAAAAAAAAAAAAAAAAAAGAUCAGGGCAAG